rnacentral:rRNA from 1 species
GACGAACGCUGGCGGCGUGCUUAACACAUGCAAGUCGAACGGCAGCAUGGAGAGCUUGCUCUCUGAUGGCGAGUGGCGAACGGGUGAGUAAUGCAUCGGAACGUACCGGGUAAUGGGGGAUAACGUAGCGAAAGUUACGCUAAUACCGCAUACGACCUGAGGGUGAAAGAAGGGGAUCGCAAGACCUCGCGGUAUCCGAGCGGCCGAUGUCAGAUUAGCUAGUUGGUGAGGUAAAGGCUCACCAAGGCGACGAUCUGGAGCGGGUCUGAGAGGAUGAUCCGCCACACUGGGACUGAGACACGGCCCAGACUCCUACGGGAGGCAGCAGUGGGGAAUUUUGGACAAUGGGGGCAACCCUGAUCCAGCCAUGCCGCGUGAGUGAAGAAGGCCUUCGGGUUGUAAAGCUCUUUCGGCCGGGAAGAAAUCGCACAGGCUAAUACUCUGUGUGGAUGACGGUACCGGCAUAAGAAGCACCGGCUAACUACGUGCCAGCCGCCGCGGUAA